CGACUUGUACUGUGAAACUGCGAAUGGCUCAUUAAAUCAGUUAUGGUUUCUUUGAUGGUACCUUGCUACUUGGAUACCCGUAGUAAUUCUAGAGCUAAUACAUGCAGGAGUGCCCGACUUCGGAAGGGCUGUAUUUAUUAGAUAAGAAACCUUCUCGGGUUCGCCCGGUUGUGUGCUGAGUCAUAAUAACUGCUCGAAUCGCACGGCUCUACGCCGGCGAUGGUUCAUUCAAAUUUCUGCCCUAUCAGCUUUCGAUGGUAGGAUAGAGGCCUACCAUGGCGUUAACGGGUAACGGAGAAUUAGGGUUCGAUUCCGGAGAGGGAGCCUGGGAAAUGGCUACCACAUCCAAGGAAGGCAGCAGGCGCGUAAAUUGCCCGAAUCCUGACACAGGGAGGUAGUGACAAGAAAUAACAAUACAGGGCUACCCCCUAGUCCUGUAAUUGGAAUGAGUACAACUUACAUCUCUUCACGAGGAUCAACUGGAGGGCAAGUCUGGUGCCAGCAGCCGCGGUAAUUCCAGCUCCAGAAGCGUAUAUUAAAGUUGUUGCAGUUAAAACGCUCGUAGUCGGGUUUCGGGUCGGGCCGAGCGGUCUGCCGAUGGGUAUGCACUGUUUGGCGCGGCCUUCUUUCCGGAGACCGCGGCUACUCUUAACUGAGCGGGCGUGGGAGACGGAUCGUUUACUUUGAAAAAAU
rnacentral:rRNA from 1 species